AUAACGGUCCUAAGGUAGCGAAAUUCCUUGUCAGGUAAGUUCUGACCCGCACGAAUGGUGUAACGAUUUGGGCACUGUCUCAACAACCUACCCGGCGAAAUUGUAGUACCGGUGAAGAUGCCGGUUACCCGCGACUAGACGGAAAGACCCCAUGGAGCUUCACUGUAGCUUAAUAUUGAAUUUUGGUAUUUCAUGUACAGGAUAGGUGGGAGACUGGGAAAUACAGGCGUCAGCUUGUAUGGAGUCACUGUUGGGAUACCACUCUUGAGGUGCUGAAAUUCUAACCUGCGUCUUUGAAUCAAGACGGGGGACAUUGUUAGGUGGGCAGUUUGACUGGGGCGGUCGCCUCCAAAAGAGUAACGGAGGCGCUCAAAGGUUCGCUCAGCAUGGACGGAAACCAUGCCAAAGAGUGCAAACGCAAAAGCGAGCCUAACUGCGAGACUGACGGGUCGAGCAGUAACGAAAGUUGGAGUUAGUGAUCCGGCGGUAUGUGAGUGGAAAUGCCGUCGCUCAACGGAUAAAAGCUACCCUGGGGAUAACAGGCUGAUCUCCCCCAAGAGUCCACAUCGACGGGGAGGUUUGGCACCUCGAUGUCGGCUCAUCGCAUCCUGGGGCUGUAUUCGGUCCCAAGGGUUUGGCUGUUCGCCAAUUAAAGCGGUACGCGAGCUGGGUUCAGAACGUCGUGAGACAGUUCGGUCCCUAUCUGUUGCGGGCGCAGGAAUAUUGAGAGGAGCUGUCCUUAGUACGAGAGGACCGGGAUGGACGUACCGCUGGUGCACCAGUUGUUCUGCCAAGGGCAUAGCUGGGUAGCUAAGUACGGACGAGAUAAACGCUGAAGGCAUCUAAGCGUGAAACUCCCCUCGAGAUAAGUGUUCCCAUCCUUCGGGAGUAAGGCCCCUUGUAGACUACAAGGUUGAUAGGUCAGGAGUGGAAGUGCAGUAAUGUAUGGAGCGGACUGAUACUAAUAGGCCGAGGGCUUGACCUA
rnacentral:rRNA from 1 species